ensembl:lncRNA
UAGACAGUGGAUCUCUUGGGACGAACAGUUGAAAGUCUUUUUCUCACUCUCCUUUUCUCUCUCUCUCUCUCUCUCUCUCUCUCUCUCUCUCUCUCUCUCUCUCUCUCCUGUUAUUCUGCUGUAAGUGGACGAGCUGGGGCUAUGCAUCUCCAGAGUGAUUCAUUCGAUUGAAGAAAGGAGACAAAACUAGCUAGCUGCCAGUCACCAGCCAGAGGGGUGUGUUAACUAGCUCCAAGUCUGACCUCUCCUCUGCUCUCCUCUUCUCUCCUCUUCUCUGUGGCAACCGAACACAGGAUAGGACAACCCUUCUCUCUCUCUCAUCUCCUCUCCUCUCCACCACUGGCUGUGGGAACUGGGAACAAGACCGGUAUAGCCCCCUCUAUACGCCCCCAAAAGAGACCUCGGCACAGGACAGACUGAGCUUCUGCUGCUGGAUCUGAAAUGGCACAUUCCGUAGAGCAGUCUUCCCAGAAGGAACUCCUCCACUGACUGCUCCACUCCUCAGCUGAACUCAGUCGGCUCCACGCGGCACUGCUGGAUCUGGGAGCAUGGGAGGGUCUGACUGGGAGCAGCCUGAGGACACAGGUGGACCACAGUUGGGGAGACAUCUGGAGGCCGCACAGCCACAGGCCAGGGACGGGCAACCGGCACAGCUUGCUACCAGUCUGGCUGUGGUGGGGAGGGUUCCUGGCACCGUGAUUUGGUGCACAAACAUAAACGAAAAUCACAUUGCCAGGGAUUUCCACCCUUUCACAUGUAGUUCUCCAGGUGGGGUCUGUAUGUUUUGCCCGUCAGGAGGACUUUCAUGUCUGUCUUCUGUCUUGGCCCUAUGUGGUCUAUGGAAACAAUAUAAUGUAAAAUAUUAGAGCGAGUGGAUAGGAAGGUUUAAUGUCAGGAAGUUCAACUCCAGAUAUAAGCUGUUCUUAGCUCUCAUAGUGAUUUACAGAUUACCUCCUGGUAUUAGCUCCUUACAAACAAAAUCCCAAACAAAAAACAACUUUCCCCUGUGGAAAGUGUUUUUAUUCCUCUAAAGCUGCAGAUGAGAGUACAAGCUGAAAUCCAAACUGUUCUUUACAAAUGGCCAGGAAGUAAAUCCAAUGCAUUUGAAAGCAGGCCAGGUUUACACAAUGUAUCAUAUUUUGGGUAAAGAUCAUCACCGUUAGGAAUGCACAAUGUCAUAUAGCUUUAGAACUAAGGAGAUUGUCUGCAGACUCUCUAUUUGAACUGUAGGAAACUGAUCCUACUUAGGCAGCCUUUGCUUAUAGACUUAAGGAGUGGUUAGAUUUAAAGAACAAAGAGUGUUUUACCAUCUAUAGAAGUCUACAAAGUACCUAUAGCUUUAGAGCAGCCAUACUCAACAGGCGGACCGCGGUCCAGGUUUGGACCCAGAACGGGGUCAAUACAGACCACGGGUCCCAACAAUUAGCUUUUUAUAAAAGGGGCGCUAGAGUGGUUGUCUACUGUGGACAUAUGGAAAUUAUCUAGAGAAUAUUAAAAUUGAAUGCUGACCCUUGGUAACAUUCGGGAUUUGCUAUUUUUCAUGGUUCUAGGUCUAUUUUCAAGCAUUUUGAACAAUGAUCCUUUAGGGAGCCAAAUAAUGCUGCUCUUUUACGUGAAUGGUGCCAAAAGAUGCGGCUCACGGAAAAGACUCGGAAGGCCCAUAGCUAAUAUGAACACACAUAAUACAUGGCAAAAUGUGUAGAAUUGCAGAACAUUUGUUUAAAACUCUCGCCAACAAGAGGAGCAUGUACAGUUUGAACAGUUUGGGGUCGCACGGGUUGCGAGGUGGCGAUUUCUUACGACACCGAUAACUCACAAUAUCCAUCAAGACCUUUGCAACCUAGGAAAUGUGUGUGAUCGGACCUUCUCAAAUAGAACCCCUGCUAUAGACGAAUCAAUUAAAGUUUCUCCCAACUAUCUGCCAGUGAAAGUCUCUAUUCUUUUCCUCAUUUGCAUCCUGUCAUGAGCAGCCAAUUGCUAAAGGCACAGAGCUUAGCUAAUUGGUGAGCAUUGAUCCCUCUUAUAUGUUGUUCACAGUGGCUAAGUUCAGUGCCUGAGGUGAAAUAGUUGAUGUGGCGGGAUGUGUUCCAAACGAUGGCGAUGAAUGCAAAGAGCACUGGCUGAGAUCUGAGAUGUGAAGAUGAAGGAAGAGGGUGGAAAGAGAGGGACAGAGUUGUGCAGCAGUGGAACGCAGCAGGAUCCCCGUAAAGAACGGAGGAAGAAAUGCUACUGAGAGAAUGUCUGGCCAGCCUAGGCAUGCCUAGUUCCACUCCACCUCAGUCAGUCAAUCAGAGCACAGCACCCCACCUUUGUCACUCAGCACAGGCACUAGUUUAUGAGGCAUGCCUCACUUCACCUCCUUCCCAGAGCUGUAUGUGGAGGCUAGGCUGCCUGCCCAACAUUCACACUCUGAGCUGUGGAGGACUGUGGGUGUUUGGUACUUGGUACAGUACCAUGCCAAGUAACUCUGAGGCCACUUUACGAGUGUGUGAAAUUAACUUUAUGAGUUAACAUACAGUGGGGUCCAAAAUUAUUGACACCCUUGAUAAAGAUGAGCAGUAAUGACUGUAUAAAAUAAAUAAUUCAAAUACUGAGCUAUAUUGUAUGCUCAACGUUUUGGGGGGAAUUAUAUUAUUCUAUACUAGUACAAUUGCUCAGAGAAAGAGAUUUUGCUUAACAAGUAACAUUUUUUCCUCUCAAAAAGUUAGGGGUCAAAAUUGAUUGACACCCCUAAAGAUUCUUAUAAAUAAAGUAGUGAAAAGUGUAGUAUUUGGUCCCAUAUUCCUAGCACACAUGUCAAUUUCUGUUAGUUAUGGUUGCUUUUCUGAUUAUUUUCUGCCCAAUAUUAUACAUUUUAUUAUAAUUAAGAAUAUGAUAUGUUUCUAAACACUUCUACAUUAAUGUAGACGCUACCAUGAUUAAUGAUAAUCCUGAAUGACCUGUGAAUAACGAUGAGUGAGAAAGUUACAGAGGACGGUAUUGUUGGGAAAGAGCAAGCAAGAAAGACAUUUCAUUGUACUACUGCACGUGACAAUAAAAACUUGUCUUGGGGGUAUGAUCUUUGACCCUCUGUAACGCUACUUCCUUGUUCUAAAAUGUAUUCAAUUAAAAACUUUCAUCAAUCUACAUACAAUACCCCAUGAUGACAAUGCGA